AUUGAACGCUGGCGGCAGGCCUAACACAUGCAAGUCGAACGAGUGGCGGACGGGUGAGUAAUGUAUGGGAAACUGCCUGAUGGAGGGGGAUAACUACUGGAAACGGUAGCUAAUACCGCAUACCAUCAGAUGUGCCCAGAUGGGAUUAGCUAGUUGGUGGGGUAACGGCUCACCAAGGCGACGAUCCCUAGCUGGUCUGAGAGGAUGAUCAUCCAAACUGGAACUGAGACACGGUCCAGACUCCUACGGUAGGCAGCAGUGGGGAAUAUUGGACAAUGGGCGCAAGCCUGAUGCAGCCAUGCCGCGUGUGUGAAGAAGGUCUUCGGAUUGUAAAGCACUUUCAGCGGGGAGGCGUUACCAACAGAAGAAGCACCGGCUAACUUCGUGCCAGCAGCCGCGGUAAUUC
rnacentral:rRNA from 1 species